rnacentral:lncRNA from 1 species
UUUUGUCAUUUUUUUCUUAGAAAAUACCGAAACCUGCCAAAAACAUGGUGUAAAAGCUAAAUAUGUUCAUACAUACUUUAAAUCAGAUAACUGAAGUAUAAAAUUACUUUUACAGUGACACGUGGGCCCCCAACUGACCAAGAAGAUGUAGGGCUAUGAACCCUUACUUUCUAGGAUGCAACUCCGAGAUUAAUUCUCGUCUUAAUCAACUAUCAACAAACUGUCCUGAGCCUAAAAAAUGGAUAGCAAGAGGGGUGAGAUUACAUAAUCCCAGUGAGUAAACAGACACCAUCUAAACUAUCUAAAGGCGAGUAAAUGGAGACGAAUUAAAAUAUUUUUUUCUAAUAUAUGUUUCAUAACAUGAAUAUUCAGUUUACUCAAUUAAUCAACAUGGCUUAUAUAUCUCACAAAACUUGGCUCAUGCCAAAAAAUAAUUCUCGUGGGUACCUUCGUCAAGGUAUCCCACUAAGACCGCCAAGGUUGUUAAAUGUCCCAUACCCGUAAACAUGUUUUCGCAUUUGACACACAGCCAUUCCUUGGCAUUGGCUGAGUCUCACUCUCACGCUGUGGUCCACGUGAAGUGCACUCAAAUCUUUACCUCAGGAGAUACUUCAUCCAACAUCUCCCCCCGGCGGUAAAU